UGGGGAAUAUUGGACAAUGGGGGGAACCCUGAUCCAGCCAUGCCGCGUGUGUGAAGAAGGCCUUAUGGUUGUAAAGCACUUUAAGCGAGGAGGAGGGUACUGGUAUUAAUACUACCAGGUACUGGACGUUACUCGCAGAAUAAGCACCGGCUAACUCUGUGCCAGCAGCCGCGGUAAUACAGAGGGUGCGAGCGUUAAUCGGAUUUACUGGGCGUAAAGCGUGCGUAGGCGGCUAAUUGAGUCGGAUGUGAAAUCCCCGAGCUUAACUUGGGAAUUGCAUUCGAUACUGGUUAGCUAGAGUGUUGGAGAGGAUGGUAGAAUUCCAGGUGUAGCGGUGAAAUGCGUAGAGAUCUGGAGGAAUACCGAUGGCGAAGGCAGCCAUCUGGCCUAACACUGACGCUGAGGUGCGAAAGCAUGGGGAGCAAACAGG
rnacentral:rRNA from 1 species